ACUUAAAUUGAAGAGUUUGAUCAUGGCUCAGAUUGAACGCUGGCGGCAGGCCUAACACAUGCAAGUCGAACGGUAGCACAGAGAGCUUGCUCUCGGGUGACGAGUGGCGGACGGGUGAGUAAUGUCUGGGAAACUGCCUGAUGGAGGGGGAUAACUACUGGAAACGGUGGCUAAUACCGCAUAACGUCGCAAGACCAAAGAGGGGGACCUUCGGGCCUCUUGCCAUCAGAUGUGCCCAGAUGGGAUUAGCUGGUUGGUGAGGUAACGGCUCACCAAGGCGACGAUCCCUAGCUGGUCUGAGAGGAUGACCAGCCACACUGGAACUGAGACACGGUCCAGACUCCUACGGGAGGCAGCAGUGGGGAAUAUUGCACAAUGGGCGCAAGCCUGAUGCAGCCAUGCCGCGUGUAUGAAGAAGGCCUUCGGGUUGUAAAGUACUUUCAGCGGGGAGGAAGGUGUUGUGGUUAAUAACCGCAGCAAUUGACGUUACCCGCAGAAGAAGCACCGGCUAACUCCGUGCCAGCAGCCGCGGUAAUACGGAGGGUGCAAGCGUUAAUCGGA
rnacentral:rRNA from 1 species